GCGGGUGUGGUGGAAUUGGCAGACACGCUAGCUUGAGGGGCUAGUGAGGUAACACUCGUGCAGGUUCAAAUCCUGUCACCCGCA
rnacentral:tRNA from 3 species